CUUGGAGCCUGGCACGGUCACGAAGGAGACGGUAAAACGCAGGAUGGCGAAGCCUGCAGGAACCAAAAUGAAAAGGUCUUGGCGAAGAGAUCUGCGCUUUUCUGAAACAACAAGAGGAUAAAAGCCACUUCCUGUCAGUGUUCAGUUGUUCCCGAUGCCAUCUGCAGUGCCCUUCGGACUGAACGGAUGCACUUCCUGCUAUUUUAAAAGCCAGAUAUGAGAAGUUUGCUUUAGCAGGAUGCUGCUGGGGGAACAGAACAUGUCAGAUUCUGUGAGUGAUUCAGCUGGUGUCCCGUGGAUUACUGCACUCACUGUCAAACAGUGACCUCCAGAGGACAGUUGGAAAACUGCAGCCUGUGCCAGUUGGGAGUCAACUCUGUUGCCUCAAACUUAUUAUUUGAGGCAUAAGCAUUGAACUAAUGCCAUGUGACUGUAUCGGCUCUGUCUCUCACUUCACGAGUUGUUGUCAGCAGAAUCCUGGCUGUGGACUGACCGCUGCAUGUCUGCUCCCUCGACAUGACCACAGGGAUGCCCACGUGUUAAUCUGGGACUGGCACACAUGCCACACAGGAAAGAUUGCACAGAGACUGGCUGGGCCGUGAAAUCAUCAGAAAACAUGGGACUUCAGUGAGGAAGGAGCUCAGACUCGUCUUGAGGCCUUCCUGCGAGAUCGCUCUGUGUUGGAGUUCAGACACUGAACAGACGUCCAUCUGAAGGCAUGGCAGCGUGGAAGGACAGGAUACCCGCUGGUAGAUGCAGCAAUGAGACAGCUGUGGCAAACUGGCUGCAAGAACAACUACAUGAGAUACGUGCCAUUGCAAUGUUGCACUGUAAAAAAAAUAUAUUUUCAUGUUCAUUAAGCCCUUCCCAUUUGAAGACUCAAGUGAUAUUUAGCAGCUUUGUUGGCUUGAUAACACACAAAAGACAAUUCAGCAAGCACUGUUCUAACAGACGGUUUUCUGUGUCCACAUGUAUAUAAAGACGCUGGUCAAUAGAUAGCAUGUGAAUAGUUUUUUUUUUUUUUUUUUUGCAUUUCAUUGCACUUAAAAGGUGAUAUGUUUAAAAAGUCAUUUAAAUAUAAUUUUAGACAUAAAAGAGAACUGUGUUCACACACUGUUUUGAAGGACACACAAGUUCAAGAACUUAAAGCACCCUGACAGAAUGUGAGUACUGAAUUGUAAAAAGCUUUUUUUCACAAUUUAUUGCACUAAAUCGGACAAUUACAAUUCAAUUUAGUCCAAAUCCCUGACUUGGUAAGUAUUCACAAACACAGUAGAUUAAAGUGAAAUGUAGAAGUUGGGAGAAAAUCAAAGAAUUGUGAAAUAUUAAUGUCAUAAUUUUUAUGCCGUUACUUUAUUUCCAGCAAAAAUAACUAUUGUCAAAUAAAUCACUCAUAUUGCAAUAAACUAUUUUGGUUAUAUUGUCCACUAGUAUUCCCAAUAAAAUCAAGUCCCAAACCUUUUUUUAUCACUUGGAAAGACAUCACAUGAUGGAGAUAAAAUGGGUUGGCUUUUAUUAAAAUCUAAAUCACAAUGAUCUCAUCUAUCACUUUCUGUUCACAGGUGUGGUUUUAGGCAGCAACUACCCAGAGCAGAUCAUUAUUGCCCUUGAUGAGCGACGUGCACAGUCUCUGUGGGAUGUUGCAUCAGUGAAGAGGUAUUUUAGGGAGUUUGUAGACCAGCAAUCAGGCUGUGACAUGAUACCUGUUCCUGCAAGGCUGCUACAGGAAGCUCUGGGCAGUAUGGAGGAUGUUGGGAGUCGUGAAGGAACCGGGUUUCUCCUCCCAAUCAUCACCCGCAUGGAGUUUAAACACCAUCACAGAGGGUCCAGACAGGCAAGAUAACCCGUAUAGCACUGUGCUGGCCGCAAAUAGGAUGGAACCACUGCCUUCCUAAAUGAGCGAGACUUCACAGUCAGCGUGAUGUUUGAGAGCGCACAACGUAGAGAGAGGGUAGAAAAGGACUGGUGUCUUCUGGAGGGUCUGCCUCAACCCACAGUCUCUUGAGGCUGGGUCAGACAUACCCCAACCAGAGACCCUUACAGUAAAGAACCUGGAGGUGUCACUGUUCCCCACAGAUUACAGACUGACAUGCCAAGGCUGGAAUACACUACUUGACUUUGCACAGAUUUUUUACCUAUUAGCAGGAUAAGCCAACUACAGUAAUUUCGCACAUAUUCAUGUGGUGUAUUAUUGGCACAGACUCAGAUUUUGAUCUAGGCAGGGGAAAUCAAGCAUGUUUGAUAUUUUGAGCCAGAUUUAAAAACCCAUUAGCUAUGUCUGAAAUCACAUACUAGUCUAUAGGUACAAUUGGUUUGAAAUAUACUUCACAGUUCUAAAAAAGUAUGUUGUAUAUAGAAUAUGGGUGGUAAGAUCCCCCAUGUUGUCACUGUCACAUGACCUACCAGUGUCAACUUGGUCACUUCACUGCCAUUCACAAAUCCUCUCCCUGUGGCCUCAUGGGAUACUAAAGUGUCCAUCAGAUGUGCACUCCACCAUAGCUGGAUUUCACUUUGCUUUCAGACACACACACUUCCCCAAGCAUGUUGUCCAGUUUUUAUCUUUAGCUGAUUAAUAACUAAAUCUGCUCAGAAUUUAACUUGUGAUGUAUUCCAGCCCUUAGUGCCUUUAACAAACAUUUUACUGACUUUGGUAAAAAGAUGUAAUACAAAUAACUUACAUUAGAUAGUAUUUUGUAAUUAAAUGGACUUUUAUUAUUGGUGUGUUUAUAUAAUGUCUCAUUACUUUUCAAAGUUUACAGACUUUUAACCAGGUAAAAUCAUAUUUUAUUAGAUCUAGAGGUUAGAAUAACAGACUAUGGACAUUAUUUUGACUUUUAAGCAGCUAUGUUAGGAAGCAAGUGGGCAGUUUUUGACUAUACAUGCAGAGCAUGAGUAAAUUUACUCUCUGGUACAAACACUUGACACAUU